CAGUAGCCGCGGUAAGACAGAGGGUGCGAGCGUUAAUCGGAUUUACUGGGCGUAAAGCGUGCGUAGGCGGCUUCUUAAGUCGGAUGUGAAAUCCCUGAGCUUAACUUAGGAAUUGCAUUUGAUACUGGGAAGCUAGAGUAUGGGAGAGGAUGGUAGAAUUCCAGGUGUAGCGGUGAAAUGCGUAGAGAUCUGGAGGAAUACCGAUGGCGAAGGCAGCCAUCUGGCCUAAUACUGACGCUGAGGUACGAAAGCAUGGGGAGCAAACAGGAUUAGAGACCCCAGUAGUCCCUGUCUCUUAUAA
rnacentral:rRNA from 1 species